rnacentral:rRNA from 1 species
UACGUAGGGUGCGAGCGUUGUCCGGAAUUAUUGGGCGUAAAGAGCUUGUAGGCGGUCUGUCGCGUCUGCUGUGAAAAUCCGGGGCUCAACCCCGGACUUGCAGUGGGUACGGGCAGACUAGAGUGUGGUAGGGGAGACUGGAAUUCCUGGUGUAGCGGUGAAAUGCGUAGAUAUCGGUAGGAACACCAUUGGCGAAGGCGGUCUCCUGGGGCAUUCUUGACGCUGAGGCGCGAAAGCUGGGGGAGCGAACGGG